CUUGACCUACGGGAGGCAGCAGUAGGGAAUCUUCGGCAAUGGACGAAAGUCUGACCGAGCAACGCCGCGUGAGUGAAGAAGGCUUUCGGAUCGUAAAACUCUGUUGUUAGAGAAGAACGUUAAGUAGAGUGGAAAGUUACUUAAGUGACGGUAUCUAACCAGAAAGGGACGGCUAACUACGUGCCAGCAGCCGCGGUAAUACGUAGGACCCGAGCGUUGUCCGGAUUUAUUGGGCGUAAAGCGAGCGCAGGUGGUUUCUUAAGUCUGAUGUCAACGGCAGUGGCUCAACAAUUGUGUGCAUUGGA
rnacentral:rRNA from 1 species